rnacentral:tRNA from 1 species
GGAGAGGUGCCAGAGUGGUUGAAUGGGACGGUCUCGAAAACCGUUGUGCCCGCAAGGGUAUCGUGGGUUCGAAUCCCACCCUCUCCG